GACGAACGCUGGCGGCGUGCCUAAUACAUGCAAGUCGAGCGGACCGAACAGGAGCUUGCUCUUGUUCGGUUAGCGGCGGACGGGUGAGUAACACGUGGGUAACCUGCCCGUAAGACCGGGAUAACUCCGGGAAACCGGAGCUAAUACCGGAUAACACCGAAGACCGCAUGGUCUUUGGUUGAAAGGCGGCUUCGGCUGCCACUUACGGAUGGGCCCGCGGCGCAUUAGCUAGUUGGUGAGGUAACGGCUCACCAAGGCGACGAUGCGUAGCCGGCCUGAGAGGGUGACCGGCCACACUGGGACUGAGACACGGCCCAGACUCCUACGGGAGGCAGCAGUAGGGAAUCUUCCGCAAGGGACGAAAGUCUGACGGAGCGACGCCGCGGGAGCGAAGAAGGUCUUCGGAUCGUAAAGCUCUGUUGUUAGGGAAGAAGAAGCGUCGUUCGAACAGGGCGGCGCGGUGACGGUACCUAACGAGAAAGCCCCGGCUAACUACGUG
rnacentral:rRNA from 1 species